CUGCCGGGCUCACUGUCCUCAUUGCAGCUGACCGCAACGCGGGACAGCGGGAUCUGCUCCGGGCGGUCCAGGGCAAGCCGGUGCCGCUCGUGUAGCCGAACGGCGGCCGUAGCGGCACGGCCGGGGAGAGUUGCGUCGACCAGGUCUUGUAAUGGUGGUCAACUGGUCUGAGCCAACCCCUCCUCCCACUUCCUCAUCCCGAGGUUCUUUGAUGUCAUUCUUCAGGGUUCACCCGCCUCCUGCGUUCAGCUCAUUGUCCAAUCUAGAGGAAUUGGCGCUAGAAAUGAACGAGUCUGAUGCAGGAAAGUUCUAUCUACACCUUACGCAGAUCUUGAGCUCGAUGGCUUGCCACCAUCACACCAUGAUCGGAAUGGUUGAGUUUGGAAUGUUUCAAAGUCUUCCUUUUACUGCUUCUUAAUAGUUAUGUUAAAUUGUGCUAUGUUUCUAUGAAAUAUCCCUUCAGAUAGUAUGAUUAGCUUACUCUUCUAGGUUUUAGUGAUUCUGGCUUUUCUCAUUAUGGUGACUUUGCAGGCUUGCUCUAAAUGGUCAUUUGAUAAUAGGAUUGCCUAUUGGAGAUGACUUGUCAAGCUUGAGUAUGGCAGAUACUAGAUCCUGAAAAAUUCAGCAAGGAUGGACACAUUGAAGAGUUUAGAUGAGGUUCUUAUUUGUCCAAUCAUUUCAUGCCUUUUUUGGUAACAUAAAUUCAAUCUUGUAAUUUGUACUGGAAACUUUUAACUUAUUCUAAUUACAGUUGAGUUUGCCCAUUAGUAUUAGGUGGAGCUAACGGAACAAAAGAGAUGUUAAACAGAAAUGGUGGACAUAUUGAAAUCUUAGCAGUUGCAUCUUGAAUAUCCUAUUGGCGUUCUCCUCUUAGUCUUACAAUGCUAUAUUGCUUGAGCCAGGCUUCUCUUGUGACUGAAACCUAAUCUUUCUUUACUUGCAAUGGAGGUUUCAAAUGUUGUUUAUGUUGUCCACUGAGGUUUUUUUUCUAUGCUCAGUCCUUCAAUUUCCUGUAUUGGAUAUUUUAUACUAGAGACAAAAGCAUAGGCACCAUUACAUCAUGCUAUUUAUCUUAUCGUGUCGUUAUCUGUAUAUACUCUGUAUGUUAUUUUGACAUUCCCAGUUUUGUUGUGGUAGUAUGUAUUUGACUCCUUUUCCCUGCCUUCUUCCUUUGAAUCACUCAAUGAAUUCACUCUUUGGCUCUGAAACUGUCCUCAUGGUCAUGUCUACUGGUAUACAGGGCAUUAAAAGCCGUAAAUAUUGCUAUCUAUAGGCCGUGUAUCAUGAAUCUCUAUUUUACACAGUUUUUUCGCCUCCUCAUAUUACGUCAUAUGGUUCAAUUGAUAUUUCAGAAGACACCAAUGCAUAUAGUACAAAAUAAUACAAAGACAUGUAUCUUGUUGUCAUUGCAAAAUCAAAGAACAAUGAGUUUUCACUGGCAAGUGUGUUAUUUUGUUCCUUUUCUAUUUGUUGCAUUACUUGAUUUGAGUGCUUUGUUUCGCACGGUAAAGUGACAAAAAUAAUGAUCCAGUUCCGUAGUUUUGUUCUCUUCUCUUUUGUGUACAUAUGAAAGAAACUACUAUUGGAAUAGAUUAGUAAAUGAAUAUUCAAUUAAUUAUAGCAUUUUGUACUUUACUCGCAGGUACUGUUUGUCCAUCCCUAUACAUUAUUAUUUUGAUGUCCUUUGGCUCCUUACAUCUUACACUCUUUUUGAUAGUUGGCUCUCUAUUUCUUCCCUUAACAUUAAGUGUUUUUAUACUACUGUAUGAAUCCCUAAUCUGCUGCUUCGUUUCACUUACAGAGAAUGUACUGCUAGCAUGUUGAUGUGGUAAUUGGUUCUCUGUUUCUUCAGCUACUUAGUAAGGGUUUGCUCUAAACUUUUUCCGGUUCGUUAAUUGAUAUCUUCAUUCUCCAUUGGCAACACUUAUUGCUAUCUAAAUCGUGGUUCAUCUUUUUUUCUUAGCUCCCACUUCAAAAGUUUUCGCUAUUUUUGUCUUGGUACACUUUUACUUCAAAAGUUCACGCAAUGCAUAACAAACCUUCCGUGAUGUGUCUAACAUUUUCAGGUAGAUGAGAAUGUACCUCAUCAUUACUGUAAAUUUAAUUUACUGGUUGGAAAAUUAUCAGGUGCAAGCAUAAUCGCCUUUGCCUGUCAUAUUUACUAGGCAUAUGUAAUCUCUGCCAUUGCUGAUAAUAUCAUGUUUGAUAUAGGCUGUUUCAGUCUAUGGCUCAUCCUAUAUUUUUACUUGGAUCCUGCAAGGUCGAGAUUUGCUCAACCUGGCUUUUACAUGGAUGAAUCUUACUUCUACCGUUUCCAAAAAAUUUCCUUCUCCAGAUGUGGGCAUUUGUCGUGCUGUCACUCUAGUCACCUGUCGUUCUCUGUCUCAAGAUUCGGUACAUCAGCAUGAGCAUCAUCCUCAUCACCAUCUCUAGGAUUCUGGACUAACUGAAUGUAGUGCGCUGUCAUUGAAAGAUUAGCUUGCUCUUGCUGCUUUACGGUCUUUAGAUUACAUUGUUAGACAACUUGCUACUCCCUCCGUUCCUAAAUAUUUGUCUUUCUAGACAUUUCAAAUGACUACUACAUACGGAUGUAUGUAGACAUAUUUUAGAGUGUAGAUUCACUCAUUUUGCUCCGUAUGUAGUCACUUGUUGAAAUGCCUAGAAAGACAAGUAUUUAGGAACGGAGGGAGUAGAAAUUAGGGUAUGCAAUGUGCCUUCAAGUUUAAGAUGAACUUCCUCUGGUUUUGAGACAGUUUAGCCACUCCAUAUAUUUCCUCUCUCGUAACCUGCACUUAGUAUGUCAUUUUGUCUAUGAUACUGUAUAUCUUUGUUUUUCACCUGAAACUUAGCAUGAAAAUUUUGAAUUAAUUAGAGCUCAUUUUUUUUGUAUGGUUCAUUGAGCCGUACUUAAAAAUGAACUUCCAUUUGAUUCGUAAUGUGUUCCUGGAUUCUUGAUUUUAAAUUUGUUCUAUCAAGAUUAAUGAUUUGAAGGUCCUUCACCUAAUGAAUUAUAUUUUCUUGUUGACCCACUUGCAUUUGUCAAUUUGAGGUCUUGACACUCCUCUCUUGACGGAAUAACUGUGCAUCAAAGUAUAUGCAAUCAUCACCUUCAUGAUUUGAAGGUCCUUCACCUAAUGAAUUUUAUUUUCUUGCUGACCGACUUGGAUUUGUCAAUUUGAGGUCUUGACACAUAGAACAUACACUUUUAUUUAUGGUGUUUGUUAUCAUAAGAUAGGUUCAGAACCAAGAUCUGGGCCAACGCGCCUCGUUCUCGCAUGUGUCUUCCACCCCCUGCUGUCUAUGCUGGCCAUGGGGAGAAAGAUGACAGCGCUUCAGAUGCCAAUAAGGAAGGACGAGAGCAGGAUUGACCAGCAGCUCGAGUAGGAGGAGGCCAGCGGUGCCUGGACCAUACUUUCUCUGCUUCUUCUUUCCACUUCAGUACAUGCCUUCCACUCCCAGCUCGACCUCUCCUUUUCCCGGCUUCUCUGCUUGGCAGUAAGAGGUGACACAUCAGAUCAGGAAACUGUGCAACAUAUAUGGAAGGUUUGGUAUUAAGAUGAGGACAUAUGCAGACAACAAGCCAACGACAUCAGGUUGUCGACAGCAGCGACAUCAAUGGAUGGAGAUACACCUGCUGCAAUGGACUUUGUUGUCUCAUCGGUAUGGUCGCCUGUGACAGUACAAGGGAGCUUUCAUUUUUUGUUGAAAUCUCUGAAGAAUUUUAUGGAAGCGGGGACUCCUCUGGAGCUUGUGGCGGCGUUCAUGGCGGGAUUCCUCGUACUGUACCUCAACUACCUGUACAAGCGAUGGGGCGGGCAGGACGAUGCGCACUGGACGGGAUCCAGCACGGUGGCCGGACCGACGAGGAAGAGGACCAACAGAGGGGGACUUGGCAAGGCUGCAUGCUGGCAGCCAUGCCGAUGUUCAAAUCUAAGGCGUGUGUGCGUGCCGGCUGCAGCAAGAUCAGGGAGGAGUGCACGGUGUUCCUUGGCGCCAUGCAUGAUGGAUCUGGCACGGCGGUCGGGCCGACGAGGACCAGCGGAUGGGUUCGAUGAAAAGUGGCAUGGUGCAAAGGUUGGUAGCUGGUGCAUAGGUGUUGCUUCAUCAUCUUGCCUUCUUUGAAGCGUGGGCUGAUUGAUGGUUAGCCAUCAUGUACGUAAUUUUUUGUGUGAACUUACUUCAAUUGGAACCGAUAAUUUUCUGCCAUGAUUUCUACUAGAUUGUAAUCUUGGAUGACUUUUGCAUCAUUGAUAUUUGAAGGUCUUCAAAUGACUUGAAUGUCAG